AUUGAACGCUGGCGGCAGGCUUAACACAUGCAAGUCGAGCGGGGUGAUGGUGCUUGCACUAUCACUUAGCGGCGGACGGGUGAGUAAUGCUUAGGAAUCUGCCUAUUAGUGGGGGACAACAUCUCGAAAGGGAUGCUAAUACCGCAUACGUCCUACGGGAGAAAGCAGGGGAUCACUUGUGACCUUGCGCUAAUAGAUGAGCCUAAGUCGGAUUAGCUAGUUGGUGGGGUAAAGGCCUACCAAGGCGACGAUCUGUAGCGGGUCUGAGAGGAUGAUCCGCCACAGUGGGACUGAGACGCGGCCCAGACUCCGACGGGAUGCGGCAGUGGGGAAUAUUGGACAAUGGGGGUAACCCUGAUCCAGCCAUGCCGCGUGUGUGAAGAAGGCCUUAUGGUUGUAAAGCACUUUAAGCGAGGAGGAGGCUCUUUUGGUUAAUACCCAAGAUGAGUGGACGUUACUCGCAGAAUAAGCACCGGCUAACUCUGUGCCAGCCGCCGCCGUAA
rnacentral:rRNA from 1 species